CUAAACCCCUGGGUCAAUUGCUUUUCUAUAAAAAAUGGGUUAAAUAUAACCCAUAUUGGGUUAUUUUUCUGACCCAUUACCUGGGUUAUUGGCCAAACCCACAUCAGCACCCAGGCCCUGGGUCAUUUCAACCCUGUAAUCUAAGUUAUCUUGUCAACGAUAUUUGAAUUUUGAAUUUUACCGGUCGCCAUUGCCAAAACGGCUACCGGGCUACCAACGUCCAGAAGAGAGGACAUCGGAUGGCUUCUGAAAGCAUUGUUUCGAUGGACGUCUUUCCUCUGACCUGUUACCAAGACAGCUGGAUGUGUAAGAAGUUGGAACUAAGUCACUGAAGAAGUAAACCGUUGAAAACCGAUUUGGAUUGUCUGAGAGAUGACACAAGUAAAAGGAGAAGAAUGCUGCUCAGCUGGGUUGGCGAAGCUCUUGGAUAUCAUCAGCACAUGUAUGAAGCACAGAGUCAUUCCGGUAGGCACAGAGUUGUUCCUCGAUGGACGUGAUGACCUGGCACCG